rnacentral:rRNA from 1 species
AGAGUUUGAUCCUGGCUCAGGAUGAACGCUGGCGGCGUGCUUAACACAUGCAAGUCGAACGAUGAUGCCAGCUUGCUGGUGGAUUAGUGGCGAACGGGUGAGUAACACGUGAGUAACCUGCCCUUGACUCUGGGAUAAGCCUGGGAAACUGGGUCUAAUACCGGAUAUGACCUUCCAUCGCAUGGUGGUUGGUGGAAAGCUUUUGUGGUUUUGGAUGGACUCGCGGCCUAUCAGCUUGUUGGUGGGGUAAUGGCCUACCAAGGCGACGACGGGUAGCCGGCCUGAGAGGGUGACCGGCCACACUGGGACUGAGACACGGCCCAGACUCCUACGGGAGGCAGCAGUGGGGAAUAUUGCACAAUGGGCGCAAGCCUGAUGCAGCGACGCCGCGUGAGGGAUGACGGCCUUCGGGUUGUAAACCUCUUUCAGUAGGGAAGAAGCGUAAGUGACGGUACCUGCAGAAGAAGCGCCGGCUAACUACGUGCCAGCAGCCGCGGUAAUACGUAGGGCGCAAGCGUUAUCCGGAAUUAUUGGGCGUAAAGAGCUCGUAGGCGGUUUGUCGCGUCUGCCGUGAAAGUCCGGGGCUCAACUCCGGAUCUGCGGUGGGUACGGGCAGACUAGAGUGAUGUAGGGGAGACUGGAAUUCCUGGUGUAGCGGUGAAA